UUCUUUUAAAGAUUCCUCGAGAAAUAUCGAGUUUUCGAGAAAAAUGCUUGAGAGCAUUCUUGUAGAGCGAGAUCUAUUCUACAAGUUUGUUUAGUAACAUUUUUUUAUUGGGCCAAUAAUAGCGGAAAUAUUUGGAAAAAAUUGGAACAGCGAUUAUUGACUCCUACGAUUAAAGAUUUGUCGAAAAAUAUUGGGUUUUCGAGAAAAAUCCUUAGGAGCAUUCUUGUAGAUCAAGAGCUGAUCUACAAGUUUGCCCUCUAUAAUUUUUUCGAUAAAUCCCACAGGAAUCGAGAUAUCUUCACGUGUUUCGGUCCAACCCCUGUAUAUAUUUAUUAAGUGACUUCCAUGAUUAUCCUGAACGCCUAAUAAUUUACCAAAAAAAAAAAACAAACGAGUUUUUUUUCUAGUUAAUUUUAUGGGAGCGCCUAGUAGGUCAAAGUAUAAGAAGCUUCUGUAGGACGAAAAUCAUAAUUAUAAAAUAUGAUACAUCGAGUUUUUGCCUCAUCCUGUAUAUUUUUCUGGUGCGGGUAAUGGAAGAAAACCGUUACCUGUGAUCCAGGUUUUAUAUAUAUUUAAACAAAAAAACAUAUGACCAUUGCGAGUGACGUCAGUUAAUAUAAUAUAUUCUCUUAUGUGAUAUUUCUUAUAUUUUAUGAGCGUUUUCAAUUGUUUUUUUUUUGAGUAUUUCAGUGAU